CAGUCGCCACGGUAAUACGGAGGGUGCAAGCGUUAUCCGGAUUUAUUGGGUUUAAAGGGUCCGUAGGCGGACUUAUAAGUCAGUGGUGAAAGCCUGUCGCUUAACGAUAGAACUGCCAUUGAUACUGUAAGUCUUGAGUAUAUUUGAGGUAGCUGGAAUAAGUAGUGUAGCGGUGAAAUGCAUAGAUAUUACUUAGAACACCAAUUGCGAAGGCAGGUUACCAAGAUAUAACUGACGCUGAGGGACGAAAGCGUGGGUAGCGAACAGGAUUAGAUACCCCAGUAGUCCCUGUCUCUUAUAU
rnacentral:rRNA from 1 species